AUUUAAGUAGUGUCCACAAAUGAAUUCAGGGCAUUAGCAGCUGAGUGAGUCGCCGCAUGCAUUUUUCGAUCACCACGUCUUCAACUGCAUUUUAGAGAGGCUAUGGCUAAGAUGUCUUGGGUGGGUUUAUUUAUGCUCCUCUGCAUUACGGCCAGUUUCGUCUCAGAUUCCAUGGCGCUAACAAAUAUGCAAAACUGGAAGCACAACGGCAAGCGCCGUUUGAUAUUGAAAGACCGAUAACAGAGUCGUCGGGAAAAAGAGUUUUCAAUGAGGAACAAGCUUAAUGAACGAGAACUGUCUCGACUCCGACCCGGACCACAGGCAUCCCAACGUAAGAGGGCAUUUAAACGUUUCAUGGCUCACAAAGACGCAAAGGUUGACGCGGAAAUCUUUUAACCACAGCUGGAGUAGACGUUUUCUGCAUUACAUGUGGAGGAACCCUGAGGAAUAAAAUUAGCCAUAAAACUUCUACAGUGUAA